UACGAAGGGUGCAACCGUUGCUCGGAAUUAUUGGGCGUAAAGCGCGCGUAGGCGGCAUUGCAAGUCCCAUGUGAAAGCCCACGGCUUAACCGUGGAAGUGCAUGGGAAACUGCAGUGCUUGAGUACUUAAGAGGAUCGCGGAAUUCCCGGUGUAGAGGUGAAAUUCGUAGAUAUCGGGAGGAACACCAGUGGCGAAGGCGGCGAUCUGGGAAGAUACUGACGCUGAGGUGCGAAAGCGUGGGGAGCAAACAGG
rnacentral:rRNA from 1 species